rnacentral:tRNA from 1 species
AAGUAAGAAGCAUAAGAUAUGCAUUUAAUUUCGACCUAAAAAAUUGUUUAAUAGACCUUACUUAGGAU